AGAGUUUGAUCCUGGCUCAGGAUGAACGCUAGCUACAGGCUUAACACAUGCAAGUCGAGGGGCAGCAUCAUCAAAGCUUGCUUUGAUGGAUGGCGACCGGCGCACGGGUGAGUAACACGUAUCCAACCUGCCGACAACACUGGGAUAGCCUUUCGAAAGAAAGAUUAAUACCGGAUGGUAUAGUUUUCCCGCAUGGGGUGACUAUUAAAGAAUUUCGGGUGUCGAUGGGGAUGCGUUCCAUUAGACAGUUGGCGGGGUAACGGCCCACCAAACCAACGAUGGAUAGGGGUUCUGAGAGGAAGGUCCCCCACAUUGGAACUGAGACACGGUCCAAACUCCUACGGGAGGCAGCAGUGAGGAAUAUUGGUCAAUGGACGAGAGUCUGAACCAGCCAAGUAGCGUGAAGGAUGACUGCCCUAUGGGUUGUAAACUUCUUUUAUACGGGAAUAAAGUGAGCCACGUGUGGCUUUUUGUAUGUACCGUAUGAAUAAGGAUCGGCUAACUCCGUGCCAGCAGCCGCGGUAAUACGGAGGAUCCGAGCGUUAUCCGGAUUUAUUGGGUUUAAAGGGAGCGUAGAUGGAUGUUUAAGUCAGUUGUGAAAGUUUGCGGCUCAACCGUAAAAUUGCAGUUGAUACUGGAUAUCUUGAGUGCAGUUGAGGCAGGCGGAAUUCGUGGUGUAGCGGUGAAAUGCUUAGAUAUCACGAAGAACUCCGAUUGCGAAGGCAGCCUGCUAAGCUGCAACUGACAUUGAGGCUCGAAAGUGUGGGUAUCAAACAGGAUUAGAUACCCUGGUAGUCCACACGGUAAACGAUGAAUACUCGCUGUUUGCGAUAUACAGCAAGCGGCCAAGCGAAAGCGUUAAGUAUUCCACCUGGGGAGUACGCCGGCAACGGUGAAACUCAAAGGAAUUGACGGGGGCCCGCACAAGCGGAGGAACAUGUGGUUUAAUUCGAUGAUACGCGAGGAACCUUACCCGGGCUUAAAUUGCAGAUGAAUUACGGUGAAAGCCGUAAGCCGCAAGGCAUCUGUGAAGGUGCUGCAUGGUUGUCGUCAGCUCGUGCCGUGAGGUGUCGGCUUAAGUGCCAUAACGAGCGCAACCCUUGUUGUCAGUUACUAACAGGUUCCGCUGAGGACUCUGACAAGACUGCCAUCGUAAGAUGUGAGGAAGGUGGGGAUGACGUCAAAUCAGCACGGCCCUUACGUCCGGGGCUACACACGUGUUACAAUGGGGGGUACAGAGGGCCGCUACCACGCGAGUGGAUGCCAAUCCCAAAAACCUCUCUCAGUUCGGACUGGAGUCUGCAACCCGACUCCACGAAGCUGGAUUCGCUAGUAAUCGCGCAUCAGCCACGGCGCGGUGAAUACGUUCCCGGGCCUUGCACUCACCGCCCGUCAAG
rnacentral:rRNA from 1 species